GUGCCAGCAGCCGCGGUAAGACAGAGGGUGCUAGCGUUGUUCGGAAUUACUGGGCGUAAAGGGCGCGUAGGCGGCCCGUUUAGUCGGGUGUGAAAUCCCGGGGCUCAACCCCGGAACUGCAUUCGAUACUGGCGGGCUUGAGACCGGAAGAGGUGGGUGGAAUACCCAGUGUAGAGGUGAAAUUCGUAGAUAUUGGGUGGAACACCGGUGGCGAAGGCGGCUCACUGGUCCGGUUCUGACGCUGAGGCGCGAAAGCGUGGGGAGCAAACAGGAUUAGAUACCCCUGUAGUCC
rnacentral:rRNA from 1 species